rnacentral:rRNA from 1 species
AUUGAACGCUGGCGGCAUGCCUAACACAUGCAAGUCGAACGGCAGCACAGUUACUGCUUGCUCGUACGGAUUGCGAGUCGGGGGCGGGAUACAUCUGCACCUGACCCUACUUUUUCGAUAGGCCGAACGAAGCCGGACUUAUACUACUACCGCUCACCAGCUGAGAGCGGAGGCCGGUGGUCUUCCGCGCUUGCGCGUUGGCAUGUGCCGAUGUCGGAUUAGCUAGUUGGCGGGGUAAAGGCCUACCAAGGCGACGAUCCGUAGCUGGUCUGAGAGGAUGAUCAGCCACACUGGAACUGAGACACGGUCCAGACUCCUACGGGAGGCAGCAGUGGGGAAUAUUGGACAAUGGGCGAAAGCCUGAUCCAGCAAUACCGCGUGGGUGAAGAAGGCCUUCGGGUUGUAAAGCACUUUUGUUGGGAAAGAAAAGCAGCAGGUUAAUACCCCGCUGUUAUGACGGUACCCAAAGAAUAAGCACCGGCUAACUUCGUG